rnacentral:lncRNA from 1 species
GAACAGUUCACGAUCUCAUGGAAAAACCCAAUGAGACCACUGUUAUCUUCACAUUUAUUCAUUCAACAAAUACCUCUAAGACCCAACUCUAUGCCAGGAAUAAUUCUAGGCUCCGAAGAUACAGAAGAGAACAAAACAAAAUUCCUGCUCUCCUGGAGCUUGUAUCCUGGUGGAUGUGAAGGGGAAACAGACCAUAAAUGCACAAGUAUGUAAAACAUCAGGUGAGUGUAGGUAAGUGUAGAGGGAGAAAAGCAGGGUAAAGGAGAAGGGCGUGCUGAGU